rnacentral:misc_RNA from 1 species
GAUGAAGAACGCAGCGAAAUGCGAUAAGUAAUGUGAAUUGCAGAAUUCAGUGAAUCAUCGAAUCUUUGAACGCACAUUGCGCCUCCUGGUAGUCCGGGAGGCAUGCCUGUUCGAGCGUCACCAAAUCCAACUCAAGCGGUUUUGCGCUUGGUCGUGGCGGAAGAGUCGGUCUGGUUGCCGUCUCCCCUCCGAAAAUCAACGGCGGAAAGUCACUGGCAGUCAGCGUAGUAGUAUCGUUCGCCGAACAUCCAGUGGCAUUCCUGCCGACGUACCCCCACAAUUCUCGUGAUUGACCUCGGAUCAGGUAGGGAUACCCGCUGAACUUAAGCAUAUCAAUAAGCGGAGGA